rnacentral:rRNA from 1 species
AGAGUUUGAUCAUGGCUCAGGACGAACGCUGGCGGCGUGCUUAACACAUGCAAGUCGAACGGAAAGGCCCCUUCGGGGGUACUCGAGUGGCGAACGGGUGAGUAACACGUGGGUGAUCUGCCCUGCACUUUGGGAUAAGCCUGGGAAACUGGGUCUAAUACCGAAUAGGACCACGCGCUUCAUGGUGUGUGGUGGAAAGCUUUUGCGGUGUGGGAUGGGCCCGCGGCCUAUCAGCUUGUUGGUGGGGUAAUGGCCUACCAAGGCGACGACGGGUAGCCGGCCUGAGAGGGUGACCGGCCACACUGGGACUGAGAUACGGCCCAGACUCCUACGGGAGGCAGCAGUGGGGAAUAUUGCACAAUGGGCGCAAGCCUGAUGCAGCGACGCCGCGUGAGGGAUGACGGCCUUCGGGUUGUAAACCUCUUUCAAUAGGGACGAAGCGCAAGUGACGGUACCUAUAGAAGAAGCACCGGCCAACUACGUGCCAGCAGCCGCGGUAAUACGUAGGGUGCGAGCGUUGUCCGGAAUUACUGGGCGUAAAGAGCUCGUAGGUGGUUUGUCGCGUUGUUCGUGAAAACUCACAGCUUAACUGUGGGCGUGCGGGCGAUACGGGCAGACUAGAGUACUGCAGGGGAGACUGGAAUUCCUGGUGUAGCGGUGGAAUGCGCAGAUAUCAGGAGGAACACCGGUGGCGAAGGCGGGUCUCUGGGCAGUAACUGACGCUGAGGAGCGAAAGCGUGGGGAGCGAACAGGAUUAGAUACCCUGGUAGUCCAA